GGGUAAUAUAAAGAUGGGAUUAUGGGUAGAAGAGACGACAGGGAUAAGAAGUGAGGUGGGGGGGUUAAUAUAAAGAUGGGGUCAUGGAGAAAGGGACUAUGGGUAGAAGUGAGGUGGGGGGGGUUAAUAUAAAGAUAGGGUCAUGGAGAAAGGGACUAUGGGUAGAAGUGAGGUGGGGGGGUUAAUAUAAAGAUGGGGUCAUGGAGAAAGGGACUAUGGGUAGAAACUGGAGCAGGAUGAAGUUUAACAUUUUCCACAAAUGGUUAACGUCAGGAUUGGAGAGGGGAAUCUGAUCCUAGAGCUGACUCUUUGUAAAUACUGGCCCGGUGCAGGUUUUCAAUGGGUCAGGCUAAUGCUAGCG